AUCCAGUUGAUGAGUCGCAAAUACAACUAAACGCGUGUCUCGGAU
rnacentral:hammerhead_ribozyme from 1 species